rnacentral:rRNA from 1 species
UACGAACCGUGCGAACGUUGUUCGGAAUCACUGGGCUUAAAGGGCGCGUAGGCGGUUCAUCAAGUCAGGGGUGAAAUCUUUCGGCUCAACCGGAAAAGUGCCCCUGAUACUGAUGAUCUCGAGGGAGGUAGGGGUCCGCGGAACUUCUGGUGGAGCGGUGAAAUGCGUUGAUAUCAGAAGGAACGCCGGUGGCGAAAGCGGCGGACUGGAUCUCUUCUGACGCUGAGGCGCGAAAGCCAGGGGAGCAAACGGG